GACGAACGCUGGCGGCGUGCUUAACACAUGCAAGUCGAACGGAAAGGCCCUGCUUUUGUGGUGUGCUCGAGUGGCGAACGGGUGAGUAACACGUGAGUAACCUGCCCUUGACUUUGGGAUAACUUCAGGAAACUGGGGCUAAUACCGGAUAGGAGCUCCUGCUGCAUGGUGGGGGUUGGAAAGUUUCGGCGGUUGGGGAUGGACUCGCGGCUUAUCAGCUUGUUGGUGGGGUAGUGGCUUACCAAGGCUUUGACGGGUAGCCGGCCUGAGAGGGUGACCGGCCACAUUGGGACUGAGAUACGGCCCAGACGCCUACGGGAGGCAGCAGUGGGGAAUAUUGCACAAUGGGCGGAAGCCUGAGGCAGCAACGCCGCGUGCGGGAUGACGGCCUUCGGGUUGUAAACCGCUUUCGCCUGGGACGAAGCGUGAGUGACGGUAAUGGGUAAAGAAGCACCGGCUAACUACGU
rnacentral:rRNA from 1 species